rnacentral:ncRNA from 1 species
GCGGAUAAAAUCCGCCGUCGCCGGUGCCACGGAGUUAGGCCGUGGGGUCCAGAUUGUGAAAAUGCCCGGAG